rnacentral:rRNA from 1 species
CGAGCGGACAGAUGGGAGCUUGCUCCCUGAUGUUAGCGGCGGACGGGUGAGUAACACGUGGGUAACCUGCCUGUAAGACUGGGAUAACUCCGGGAAACCGGGGCUAAUACCGGAUGCUUGUUUGAACCGCAUGGUUCAAACAUAAAAGGUGGCUUCGGCUACCACUUACAGAUGGACCCGCGGCGCAUUAGCUAGUUGGUGAGGUAAUGGCUCACCAAGGCGACGAUGCGUAGCCGACCUGAGAGGGUGAUCGGCCACACUGGGACUGAGACACGGCCCAGACUCCUACGGGAGGCAGCAGUAGGGAAUCUUCCGCAAUGGACGAAAGUCUGACGGAGCAACGCCGCGUGAGUGAUGAAGGUUUUCGGAUCGUAAAGCUCUGUUGUUAGGGAAGAACAAGUACCGUUCGAAUAGGGCGGUACCUUGACGGUACCUAACCAGAAAGCCACGGCUAACUACGUGCCAGCAGCCGCGGUAAUACGUAGGUGGCAAGCGUUGUCCGGAAUUAUUGGGCGUAAAGGGCUCGCAGGCGGUUUCUUAAGUCUGAUGUGAAAGCCCCCGGCUCAACCGGGGAGGGUCAUUGGAAACUGGGGAACUUUGAGUGCAGAAGAGGAGAGUGGAAUUCCACGUGUUAGCGGUGAAAUGCGUAGAGAUGUGGAGGAACACCCAGUGGCGAAGGCGACUCU